GGAGACUGUGAACCCCAGACGCCAGUUUGGGGGGAGUCAACGUUGAAAUACCACUCUGGUCGUACUAGAUGUCUAACCUAGGUCCGUAAUCCGGAUCAGGGACAGUGCCUGAUGGGUAGUUUAACUGGGGCGGUUGCCUCCUAAAAUGUAACGGAGGCGCUCAAAGGUUCCCUCAGCCUGGUUGGCAAUCAGGUGGCGAGUGUAAGUGCACAAGGGAGCUUGACUGUGAGACAGACAUGUCGAGCAGGGACGAAAGUCGGAACUAGUGAUCCGGCGCCAGCAUGUGGAAGCGGCGUCGCUCAACGGAUAAAAGGUACCCCGGGGAUAACAGGCUGAUCUUCCCCAAGAGUCCAUAUCGACGGGAUGGUUUGGCACCUCGAUGUCGGCUCGUCGCAUCCUGGGGCUGGAGCAGGUCCCAAGGGUUGGGCUGUUCGCCCAUUAAAGCGGUACGCGAGCUGGGUUCAGACCGGCGUGAGCCAGGUCGGUCCCUAUCUGUCGUGGGCGCUGCACAUUUGAGAGGAGUCUUCCUUAGUACGAGAGGAUUAGGAAGGACGAACCCCUGGUGAUCCA
rnacentral:rRNA from 1 species